CAACGUAGGUAAUCUACCUUCGGGUGGGGAAUAACAACCGGAAACGGUUGCUAAUACCGCAUAAUGCAGCGGCACCUAAUGGUGACAGUUGUUAAAGCGGGGGAUUUUAGGACCUCGCGCCUGAAGAGGAGCCUGCGGCGGAUUAGCUAGUUGGUGAGGUAACGGCUCACCAAGGUGACGAUCCGUAGCCGGCCUGAGAGGGCGGUCGGCCACACUGACACUGACAUACGGGUCAG
rnacentral:rRNA from 1 species